GAUGAAGAACGCAGCGAAAUGCGAUAAGUAAUGUGAAUUGCAGAAUUCAGUGAAUCAUCGAAUCUUUGAACGCACAUUGCGCCCCUUGGCAUUCCGAGGGGCAUGCCUGUUCGAGCGUCAUUAUAACCCCUCAAGCUCAGCUUGGUGUUGGGGCCUGCUGCACUGGCAGCCCUUAAAAUCAGUGGCGGCGCCAUCUGGCUCUAAGCGUAGUAAUUCUUCUCGCUAUGGAGUCCUGGUGGAUGCUUGCCAUCAACCCCCAAUUUUUCUAUGGUUGACCUCGGAUCAGGUAGGGAUACCCGCUGAACUUAAGCAUAUCAAUAAGCGGAGGA
rnacentral:misc_RNA from 1 species